GGGUGGAGUUGCUCUCAAACUUGGAAAUGCAUUUCCUCCCCUCCCAUGUUUCGCAGGCAAGAAUCCUUAUCUACUCACUGCAUAAAAAGGGAGGAAGAUUGAAGGAAAAAGAACUGGAGCAAUCAAUAUUGGAACCCCCAGUCUUCUCAUCAAUCUGUAUUUGUAAGAUGUUGCAGUGUAUGAGAGAGUCAAGAAAAUUAUGGUUUGAUGUUGUUAAAACCGAUUCGACGUUUACUCAGAUUCUAAAUCAGACGGUCCAUCUCGCAUCACCAACCCUCAGUCUCAGGCCUUUUCAACAGAACCAAAGUUUGAGAAAACUGUUGGAAUCAUUGGAGUGGGGAAUAAAUUUUAAAACUCAAUGAUGGAAUCGCCUCUCACCUCGCACUCUCUGACGCAUAAGGGUUCCAUAAGAAGCAGAGGAAACUAUAUUUAAGAUGAUUAUUUUUGAUAAAGGAAUUAAAAGCAAAAUGAGGAUCAGAGUUGGAGGGAGUUCAAGAGUAACAUGAAAGCAAAACAAAAGGGAAGCAUCAUGGUGAGUAAACAUAGGCACCGAUCAUGACUUCUUUGAGCAGUGAACCAAAGUUGCUCUUCUUCGUGGACAAGUCCAAAGGUUAUUUCAUAUGGAUGCUAGAAGGGACAUAAUUUGCUGUGGUGGCAGUUACACUAUCCAAUUUGCUGCAUGAGGCUUCCAAAGAAGAUAGCAGCAGGAGGAGGUUAAUGUACAAGCAGUAGCUAAAAGGAUUUUAAUUGUCAUGAAUUUUUUGUUUUUUGUUUUCAUUUUUCAAUGGUUGGAAUACUAGCUUCAAUUACUAUAUUUUGGUGUAACGAGUUUUGUUUUAAAUAAAGACUUAUUCAAUUGCAUCUA